GACGGGUGAGUAAUGCGUAGGAAUCUACCUAGUAGUAUGGAAUAGCCAUUAGAAAUGAUGGGUAAUACUGUAUAAUCCCUGCGGGGGAAAGAUUUAUCGCUAUUAGAUGAGCCUACGUUAGAUUAGCUAGUUGGUAAGGUAAUGGCUUACCAAGGCUAUGAUCUAUAGCUGGUCUGAGAGGACGAUCAGCCACACUGGAACUGAGAUACGGUCCAGACUCCUACGGGAGGCAGCAGUGGGGAAUAUUGGACAAUGGGCGAAAGCCUGAUCCAGCUAUGCCGCGUGAGUGAAGAAGGCCUUCGGGUUGUAAAGCUCUUUCAAUAGGGAAGAUAAUGACGGUACCUAUAAA
rnacentral:rRNA from 1 species